AGCCCAGUCUGGCUGCGACAUCUGUCACCCCAUUGAUAGCCAGGGUUGAUUCGGCUGAUCUGGCUGGCUAGGCGGGUGUCCCCUUCCUCCCUCACUGCUCCAUGUGUGUCACUCCCGAAGUUGUGUGCUCAAGAGUCAGACCGGUCUUCCGUCAAGGGUAUAUGAGUAGCUGCACUCCCCUGCUAGAACCUCCAAACAAGCUCUCAAGGUCCAUUUCUUAGCCUAAUAUCUCAUUGAUAAAUAAUCCCAUCCUACUUUUUUCUUCUUGCCUCGAA
rnacentral:snRNA from 1 species